UAGUNUUUNUUCUAUGGCUCAGGAUGAACGCNGGCGGCGUGCNUAAUACAUGCAAGUNGAACGCUUUGUGGUUCAACUGAUUUGAAGAGCUUGCUCUGAUAUGACGAUGGACAUUGCAAAGAGUGGCGAACGGGUGAGUAACACGUGGGAAACCUACCUCUUAGCAGGGGAUAACAUUUGGAAACAGAUGCUAAUACCGUAUAACAAUAGCAACCGCAUGGUUGCUACUUAAAAGAUGGUUCUGCUAUCACUAAGAGAUGGUCCCGCGGUGCAUUAGUUAGUUGGUGAGGUAAUGGCUCACCAAGACGAUGAUGCAUAGCCGAGUUGAGAGACUGAUCGGCCACAAUGGGACUGAGACACGGCCCAUACUCCUACGGGAGGCAGCAGUAGGGAAUCUUCCACAAUGGGCGAAAGCCUGAUGGAGCAACGCCGCGUGUGUGAUGAAGGGUUUCGGCUCGUAAAACACUGUUGUAAGAGAAGAAUGACAUUGAGAGUAACUGUUCAAUGUGUGACGGUAUCUUACCAGAAAGGAACGGCUAAAUACGUGCCAGCAGCCGCGGUAAUACGUAUGUUCCAAGCGUUAUCCGGAUUUAUUGGGCGUAAAGCGAGCGCAGACGGUUAUUUAAGUCUGAAGUGAAAGCCCUCAGCUCAACUGAGGAAUUGCUUUGGAAACUGGAUGACUUGAGUGCAGUAGAGGAAAGUGGAACUCCAUGUGUAGCGGUGAAAUGCGUAGAUAUAUGGAAGAACACCAGUGGCGAAGGCGGCUUUCUGGACUGUAACUGACGUGAGNU
rnacentral:rRNA from 1 species